rnacentral:tRNA from 1 species
CGGGCCGUGGUGUAAUGGUUAACAUACCCGCUUUGGGAGCGGGCGACUCCCGGUUCGAGUCCGGGCGGCCCGACCA